UACAGAGGGGGCAAGCGUUGUUCGGAAUUACUGGCGUAAAGGGCGCGUAGGCGGCCUGUUAAGUCGAACGUGAAAUCCCCGGGCUCAACCCGGGAACUGCGUCCGAUACUGGCAGGCUUGAAUCCGGGAGAGGGAUGCGGAAUUCCAGGUGUAGCGGUGAAUGCGUAGAUAUCGUAAGGAGACCAGUGGACGAAGGCGAGUCUCGGACA
rnacentral:rRNA from 1 species